GCAACUCGGACAACAUAAUAAGGAGGUAGGGGCAGAAAAAUCAGAAGUUCAAGGUCACCUGUGGAGGCAAAGCAGGUUGGAGGCCAGUUAAGCGAUACAUGAGACCCUGUAUCCAAAAAAAACGAAAGAAAAUACUAACAAGAAGUAAGUUUUGGAGCAGAUAGACCUGGGUUCACAUCUUAGCCUCUUGGCACACCUAGAAUGGGUCCUUGGGCAGAUCCUGCCAUCUUUGUCUGUUUAGUGGUGUGUUUAUGAUUAUAAACAACCAACCUCAAAAGUUAGUGUCUAAAAACAAGCAUUUUAUUUUACUUCAUAAAACUGGGGAAUGCUGACACAGCUUGGCUGUUGGGUCACGUGCCAUGGACUGGGUCAGGUCAUGGGUGGUUAGUUUGUCUGGACACAAGGUCCAAAAUGGCUUCUCUUCCUAUGUGUG
rnacentral:lncRNA from 1 species